CUCAGUUGGUUAGAGCGUCGGAUUGUGGUUCCGAAGGUCGCGGGUUCGAACCCCGUCGUUCGCCC
rnacentral:tRNA from 1 species